GAUGAACGCUGGCGGCGUGCCUAAUACAUGCAGGUCGAGCGAACGGACGAGAAGCUUGCUUCUCUGAUGUUAGCGGCGGACGGGUGAGUAACACGUGGAUAACCUACCUAUAAGACUGGGAUAACUUCGGGAAACCGUAGCUAAUACCGGAUAAUAUUUUGAACCGCAUGGUUCAAAAGUGAAAGACGGUCUUGCUGUCACUUAUAGAUGGAUCCGCGCUGCAUUAGCUAGUUGGUAAGGUAACGGCUUACCAAGGCAACGAUGCAUAGCCGACCUGAGAGGGUGAUCGGCCACACUGGAACUGGGACACGGUCCAGACUCCUACGGGAGGCAGCAGUAGGGAAUCUUCCGCAAUGGGCGAAAGCCUGACGGAGCAACGCCGCGUGAGUGAUGAAGGUCUUCGGAUCGUAAAACUCUGUUAUUAGGGAAGAACAUAUGUGUAAGCAACUGUGCACAUCUUGACGGUACCUAAUCAGAAAGCCACGGCUAACUACGUG
rnacentral:rRNA from 1 species